GCCUCUAUGUCUCUAGUGGUAACCGCCUAUCAGUAUUCUACAUUGCCCUUAUGACUGGGAAUGUAACUUAAUAUAAUAAAACAUUCUUUAUACCAGAGUUUAUCUGGUACGUUCGAUUAAGACCUGUGUGAUUGUUCAACUAUUUUGUUUAAUACCACUUGAAGACAGUGAACAAAUCUGUACACCUACAUACACUUUCUAACAACCCAACAACCCAGGGGCACCGCACCAUGGACAGCGUUCCAGUAGAAACCACCGGCACCUUGGAGAGCGGCACGACAAGCCCGGAUCGAGGCCAUGAGGGGGAGGCCGCCACACCAGGAGACAACGAGCAAAACAGUAAGGAGUGUGAGGUAGAGACGAGACCGGCCUGAACAGUCAAGACCAAGUGCUGUGCUGUUCGGUCCUGCCUACGGCCCUUGGUGGCUACAACUUUUAUACACAUUAAACCAAUAAAACAUGCUUCACAAGUUUAUAAGGUACAUUCAACAAUUUUGUUUAAUAA